rnacentral:tRNA from 1 species
GGAUCGGGUUAUCAGAUGGGCGCUGAGGCAGACUGUAAAUCUGCCGUCUCAGGACUCGCUUGGUUCGACUCCAAGCUGAUCCACCA